AGCUGAGGCACAUGAUGGCCACCUCCCAGUGCCAUCGCGUCAGCUGUUCCCCUCUGGAGGUUUCAAACCUUCACACCUGAUAGGCCCCGGCACACGCUGUGGGCCUUUUUU
rnacentral:sRNA from 1 species